rnacentral:tRNA from 1 species
GGGCCUGAGGGAGGCGGCCGGGGCACCUCCCGGCGCGCUCAGGGCGCGCUCAGGGCGCGCUCAGGGCGCGCCGGGACCGC